CAAUAGCGUAUAUUAAAGUUGUUGCAGUUAAAAAGCUCGUAGUUGGAUUUCUGGUAGGAGCGACCGUGCCGAACUUGAUUGUUCGAGUAUUGUGUUGUCUUCAGCCAUCCUCGUGGAGAACUUUUCUAACAUUAACUUGUUGGGAUUGGGACCCGCGUCGUUUACUGUGAAAAAAUUAGAGUGUUUAAAGCAGGCAUUAGCUUGAAUACAUUAGCAUGGAAUAAUAAGAUAGGACUUUGGUACUAUUUUGUUGGUUCGCAUACCAAAUUAAUGAUCAACAGGAACAGUUUGAGGAUAUUCGUAUGAACAUGUCAGAGGUGAAAUUCUUGGAUUUUGAUCAGACGAACUACUGCGAAAGCAUUUAUCAAGGAUGUUUUCAUUAA
rnacentral:rRNA from 1 species